rnacentral:lncRNA from 1 species
GAAAAUGUGCUCCAGAAGCUCCAAUUUUCGAACACAAUUCUUUACAUUGCACUGUGUACCUUGCUUGCUCUAUAAUUUGAAACACAACUGAUCAUGUCCUCUGAAGAAAUGUUACAAAAAAAAGUUCAGUUAACUGUUAUGGUCUAAAAUGGGAGAAGGAAAACAACUCUAGAAUCAUUCAUGGUCUGUAGCAUUUUCACCAGUUAUAAGUGUUCUGUCAAUUUCUGUAAUGUUCACUAUGACAUGGAGUGUUAAGUACUGUCAAUUUUGUUUCUGUAAUUCCAAUAAGAACAUUACAGUAGAUUAUUGUCAAUUUUUGUAAUGAUGAUGGAACAAUCUUUAGGUUGCCAUGAUUGAAAUUUCUGUUUCUAAACUGUCAAUUUCUCUAUUAUGUCAAGAUCAACAAGCAAUAGAAAAACAUUAAGGUAACUAGAUAUUGACAGUAAAUGAAUGCUACUCCAAAUUUAGUUUUCUUUGGGCAAAAAGUUGCUUCUCUUAACAAACUUUUGACUAAAUUUUUGUUAAACAGGUUAGAACAAGCAAAAAAAGACAUCACAGUUUUAAUCAAGGACCGAAUCUUAGAUCACAAAAGGGAUAGCCUAGAGUUUAGACUUUUUCUCUGUUAAACCAAGAACAACAGGCAGGAUCUCCUCGAGGACGCGUUGCAAUUCAGAGACAACCGACAUACCCCCAUGAUCUUCAGAGAAAAAUCAACAGUUCAGAAAAAUAAAUGGGACCUAAUUCUCACUACUCACUCAUCACUAGUCAAGUAAUCCACGACAGGCAAAGGGCAGUGAUCAACAUAGACAUAUCUUCAGCCAGUAGGACGACGUUCAAACGGAGGGUCGUCAGGUGAUCGCCGAGCUCCUUGGAGACCAGAAAUGGGUAACAGGAAAUCUAGAUACACUGCGUGAGCAUGUAUGUUUAAUUAUUCCACUG